rnacentral:lncRNA from 1 species
CCGAAGGCUAGAGCGAAGGGGGUCUCCCCUGUGGGCAGUCUUUGGGUAGUUCGGUACGUCCACAACACAUGAUAAAGUUUGUCUGCCCAAGUUUCCUUCGCUUUUUCGAGCCUUGUCUUGAUCCCUUGCAGCAGAGUUCUGUUGGUCACUUCAGCUUUGCCGUUCGCCUGAGGAUGGGCUACCGAUGUGAAGUUGUGGG